CUCCUCCUGAGGGUCGAAAUGACAGCCUGGACCUAUACAUUGAAUGCUUCCGCCGGCGUGCACAGGCAGAAAUCGUGGAACAACAACAUCGCUUGCCUCACAACCUAAGCCGUGCAGAACGCAAUGCCAUCCACAGCCUCAGAAACCACCCUGACAUUAUCAUCAAAGAGGCUGAUAAAGGAGGUGCCGUUGUCAUCAUGAACAGGUCUGACUAUCAAAAGGAGGCAGCCAGACAACUCUCCAAUACCAAAUUCUACAGGCCACUUCCCUCAGAUCCCACUGAGGAAUACACUAAGAAACUACAGCAUCUACUCAGGACACUCCCUACACUAACACCAGAAGAAAUCAACAUACCCCUAGAGCCCCGACCAGGGUUAUUCUAUCUACUACCCAAGAUCCACAAACCCGGAAAUCCUGGACGCCCCAUCAUCUCGGGCAUUGGCACUCUCACUGAAGGACUGUCUGGAUAUAUGGACUCUCUACUCAGACCCUAUGCCACCAGCACUCCCAGCUAUCUCCGCGACACCACUGAUUUCCUGAGGAAACUACAAUGCAUUGGUGACCUCCCAGAAAACACCAUCCUAGCCACCAUGGAUGUAGAGGCUCUCUACACAAACAUCCCACACACAGAUGGAAUACAAGCUGUCAGGAACACCAUCCCUGAUGAUGCCACAGCACAACUGGCUGCUGAGCUCUGUGCCUUUAUACUUACACACAACUAUUUCAAAUUUGAUGACAAUAUAUAUCUCCAGAUCAGUGGCACUGCUAUGGGCACCCGCAUGGCCCCACAAUAUGCCAAUAUCUUCAUGGCCGACCUGGAACAACGCUUCCUCAGCUCUCGUCCACUCACACCCCUUCUCUAUCUACGCUACAUUGAUGACAUCUUCAUCAUCUGGACCCAUGGGAAGGAGACUCUGGAAAAAUUCCACCAUGAUUUCAACAGCUUCCACCCCACCAUCAACCUCAGCCUGGACCAAUCUACACGGGAGGUCCACUUUCUUGACACCACGGUGCAAAUAAGUGAUGGUCACAUUAACACCACCC
rnacentral:lncRNA from 1 species